rnacentral:rRNA from 1 species
UACGAAGGGGGCUAGCGUUGCUCGGAAUUACUGGGCGUAAAGCGCACGUAGGCGGCUUUCUAAGUCGGGGUGAAAUCCUGGAGCUCGAACUCCAGAACUGCCUUCGAUACUGGAAAGCUCGAGUCCGGGAGAGGUGAGUGGAACUGCGAGUGUAGAGGUGAAAUUCGUAGAUAUUCGCAAGAACACCAGUGGCGAAGGCGGCUCACUGGCCCGGUACUGACGCUGAGGUGCGAAAGCGUGGGGAGCAAACAGG